CAAUCUUCAUCAACACACAAACCAACAAUGACUUUCAGCAUCAUCUUCAUCUGGACGCUCACAGUGUUUGCUCAAGAGUGUAGAGGACAGUACACUGUUACUCAGAGUCCAUCAACAACAGCAGUUCAACCAGGACAAGAUGUUCAAAUAAAGUGUAAAGUCAGCAGUGGAGUGUAUGGUGGUGAUAGAUUACACUGGUACUUACAGAAACCUGGAGAAGCUCCUAAACUCCUCAUAUAUUAUGCAACAAGCCUCUAUUCUGGAACUCCAUCUAGAUUCAGUGGCAGUGGAUCAAACACAGAUUUUACUCUGAGCAUCAGUGGAGUUCAGACUGAAGAUGCAGGAGAUUAUUACUGUCAGAGUUUACACAGUGGCAGUAGCUGGGUGUUGACACAGUGAUAAAGAGUCGUACAAAAACCUCCGUCAGUCAGACUGAACAGUGACUGCACUGACACACUUCACACAUACUGCAGCUGCUCAUACAACACAAUGACUUGAUGUAGCAACAUUCUUUCAAUUAGACUUUUUUAUUACAAUUACUAUAAUUUGUAAUUAAUUAAAAAAAAUUUUUAUUUAUUUAUUUACAUAUUUGUUUACUGAUUUAUUUUUGAUCAAUGUAAAGUCUUGUCAGUAAUUUUUCGUCUGUCUGCGUUGGUUUAUUUCUUCCUUUUUUCUCUCUUGUUACCUUCCAUUUAAAACACUCAUAAACAGGGACGUGCACAGACAUUUUGAGGGGCAUGGGCUCAAGUGGAAAAAAGGGCACUUCUCAUAUUUGUUUUAAUUUUUUCCAAACAAAAUGUUAAAUAUAUUAAAAUAACUAUUUUUUGAAAUC